ensembl:miRNA
UCAGUGAGGUCUGGGGGUGAGGACAGUGUGUCCUGAAAUUCACAGGACUGACUCCUCACCCCAGUGCACGAGGA